AGACAUGGGCGACGGGGGUCAAAGUGUAGUAUCUGUUCGUAUAAGCUUAAAAGCUGAUACGGGUUCUAUUCGGACGCGAGAUGUUACACUUAGGUUUGCAAGUUGGCGGAGUGCUUGAAGUCUGCUUCACCUCCGCCGCGGGUCUGCCCACUAUUGCACUAUAUGCGUGAUCGGCCCACGCUUU